rnacentral:rRNA from 1 species
GAUGAACGCUGGCGGCGUGCCUAAUACAUGCAAGUCGAGCGAACGGACGAGAAGCUUGCUUCUCUGAUGUUAGCGGCGGACGGGUGAGUAACACGUGGAUAACCUACCUAUCAGACUGGGAUAACUUCGGGAAACCGGCGCUAAUACCGGAUGAUCUUUUGAACCGCAUGGUUCAAAAGUGAAAGACGGUCUUGCUGUCACUUAUAGAUGGAUCCGCGCUGCAUUAGCUAGUUGGUAAGGUAACGGCUUACCAAGGCAACGAUGCAUAGCCGACCUGAGAGGGUGAUCGGCCACACUGGAACUGAGACACGGACCAGACUCCUACGGGAGGCAGCAGUAGGGAAUCGUCCGCAAUGGGCGAAAGCCUGACGGAGCAACGCGGCGUGAGUGAUGAAGGUCUUCGGAUCGUAAAACUCUGUUAUGAGGGAAGAACAUAUGUGUAAGUAACUGUGCACAUCUUGACGGUACCUAAUCAGAAAGCCACGGCUAACUACGUG